rnacentral:rRNA from 1 species
GACGUAGGGCGCGAGCGUUGUCCGGAUUUAUUGGGCGUAAAGAGCUCGUAGGCGGCUUGUCGCGUCGAAUGUGAAAACUCGGGGCUCAACUCCGAGCUUGCAUUCGAUACGGGCAGGCUAGAGUUCGGUAGGAGAGACUGGAAUUCCUGGUGUAGCGGUGAAAUGCGCAGAUAUCAGGAGGAACACCGGUGGCGAAGGCGGCACUCUGGGCCGGUACUGACGCUGAGGAGCGAAAGCGUGGGGAGCGAACAGG